AUGAAACACUCCUACGGGAGGCAGCAGUGGGGAAUAUUGCACAAUGGGGGAAACCCUGAUGCAGCAACGCCGCGUGAGUGAAGGAGUAUUUCGGUAUGUAAAGCUCUAUCAGCAGGGAAGAAAAUGACGGUACCUGACUAAGAAGCCCCGGCUAACUACGUGCCAGCAGCCGCGGUAAUACGUAGGGGGCAAGCGUUAUCCGGAUUUACUGGGUGUAAAGGGAGCGUAGACGGCGAGACAAGUCUGAAGUGAAAGCCCGGGGCUCAACCCCGGGACUGCUUUGGAAACUGCCUUGCUAGAGUGCUGGAGAGGUAAGUGGAAUUCCUAGUGUAGCGGUGAAAUGCGUAGAUAUUAGGAGGAACACCAGUGGCGAAGGCGGCUUACUGGACGGUAACUGACGUUGAGGCUCGAAAGCGUGGGGAGCAAACAGGAUUAGAAACCCGAGUAGUCCGAAGUUC
rnacentral:rRNA from 1 species